CCAAUGCCCAUGUAACUCUCCCCGCCUUUGGGCUUCGAACUUCGAGUUUCAUUUUCAUUUGUUUCACAAAUGCGAUCACGGUGUUUUCCUGGAUUUCAUCCCCUUCUUCUACAAGCAUCUCAGUCAGUUUUCCGCUCAUAGGAAGAGUGAUGUGGGAAGAAUUGUUUGGGUUUCCUCGUCGAUGAGUUGAUGAUAACGAACUUGACGAGGCCAGCGUCCUGGCCAAUGUUACUCGAUACGGGGUAGUCCUUGCUGUUUGAGUCGCAGUUGCUGGAGUUGUAUACUCAAUUUCUGCGCUUAGCGAAGUUGGGAAUUCGUUGCGGAGAAGUUUGCUCAGCAGAAGGUGAUGAGGAGCUUGGGAGCCGGAUCCCUUUGUCGAGUUCAAGGGCGCCAACUCGAUGGACCAAGCAUCUCCUUUGCGGAAGAGGACACUUGACGAUGCAAGAGAUGAUGCCUGGGAGGCGGAGAAGCUGGGUAAGCUGGGGACAUGGAAUUCGGUGAUUUUGCCGAUACUCAAAGCGAAAUCGGCGGUUGGAUCUUCAGCACAUAAUCUCAACUGGAUUGAAUAUGCUGCGGCAGGUUGUUCUGGAUUCUUUAUGUCGGCCGGCCCCAUAUCUCGCAGCGACACCCCUUGGGCUAGCAGAAGCUGUGUCUGGACAAGAUCCACUGUUGAAAUGCAUUCCGUGAUUGUAUGUUCGACCUGAAGACGGGGGUUAAUUUCUUGAAAAUAGAACUUCGAUAGUUUCUCGCUGGCCAAGAACUCGAAGGUUCCCAGCGACAAGUACUUGAUCUAUGUUUCCAAGUCAGGGGUUUGUAUCCAAUAUCAUAUCUAGGAAGGCAACUUACUUCACUCGCCAUCCGUAAUGCCGACUCGAUGACCCUUUUAAUCAAAGUUCUGUUCUUCAUCAUGGCAGGCGCACACUCCACGAUCUUCUGAAACCUCCUCUGCACACUACAAUCUCUUUCCCAGAGAUGCCUGACCUCGCCAGUACCAUCCCCAACAACCUGAACCUCAACGUGAUGAAACCCUCCCACUGCAGCCUUUUCCACGAACACCUUUUUGGAAGGGGACUCCCCCGUCGCCCGAUCAAUAGCAGACUGCAACUCAUCAGGUCCCUUGACAAACAAACCGGAUUCCCCGCCCGCCUCCACCAUCUACAGCUUUUACCAUAACAGGAUAUCCCACCUCAGCUACAAAUUGACGUAUCAAGCCAAUAUCGCUUGUUGGCGUUUUCAUUGCUUUCAAAAUCGGCACGCGACAUGCCUCCGCCAGCAUCUUCGCUUGCAGCUUGUCUCCUGUCCUUGCCAGUACCUCCCAGCCGGGACUGAUGACUUCGACCACAGCUUCCUCCCACAUUCGCUGGGCGAAUUCUGCACUUUCGCUUAAGAAUCCAUACCCCGGGUGGAUUGUAUCUAUGGAGUGUUCCCGCGCUAGCUGCACCAGCAAAGCAAUAUCCAUAUAGGAUGACGGAGAUGGCAAGGCUACGGCAUGGUGUGGUGCUCCCAAAUCACAAUGUGAGCGGUCAUCUGCUGUGUAAAGUGCAAAGGUUUCGAUGUUGGGUAAUUCACGAGCCGCCUGGAGGAUGCGAACUGCGAUCUCUCCCCUGAAAAGUAGCAAAUACGGAGUAAUUGUGUUAGCUUUCUUGUUACUCAUUUUAGCUGUGAUUUCUAGUCCCUGAAAUCCGCAGGGUUUGCCUACCUAUUUGCAACUAAUAGUCGCUUUAUGGGACGUGCUGGAGGAGGAGGAGACAUGAUUCUAGAACUUCUUGGGGACACUCGGCCAAACAGAUGUAUAAAUACAAUUUUCACUAUCAUUCAGGAAAUGAAAAAUAGAAACCCUCCACUUUCCACUUUCACCGACGGAACCAGGUUCCUUUUGUCAUAAGUUUGUUGUAUGAGCGUUACUGAGAAACGGAUGCUAAUCCGUGUCUAAUAACAACAAGUAGCACAACCAACUUCACAUAAACAACUCAGGAAUAAACACCAUGUCCUUUUCGCUUGAAAGGAUUUUUGGAGC
rnacentral:sRNA from 1 species